rnacentral:rRNA from 1 species
UUGGCUUAGAAGCAGCCAUCAUUUAAAGAAAGCGUAAUAGCUCACUGGUCGAGUCGGCCUGCGCGGAAGAUGUAACGGGGCUAAACCAUGCACCGAAGCUGCGGCAGCGACACUAUGUGUUGUUGGGUAGGGGAGCGUUCUGUAAGCCGUUGAAGGUGUGCUGUGAGGCAUGCUGGAGGUAUCAGAAGUGCGAAUGCUGACAUAAGUAACGAUAAAGCGGGUGAAAAGCCCGCUCGCCGGAAGACCAAGGGUUCCUGUCCAA